rnacentral:lncRNA from 1 species
GGGGCCUAUUAUAGCUGACUAUGCGGUAUGGGCUUUGCUCAUUGUUGAAGGCCGUACGGUGACCUAUAGUUGUUAAUCAGUCUGUGUCAUUUUUUGUGGAUAGUUGUCUCAUUGGCAAUCAUACAUCUUUUUUUAUACAACUGUUAUGAAGUCUUUACAGCAACAGGAUGACUUAUUUUCUGGUUUGAAUUGUUUUGUUUCGGAACUUUCUUAGAGCUUACUAUUCGGUAUGGAUUUCCUGUAUGAUGACUUAUGGUUGCUUUCAUCUGUCAUUUACUCUGGUUAAUAGUUGUCUAGUUUGCAAUCAUACCACAUAUUUUUUUAUUUUAAAUUUAUGUUAUUCUCUGUAUAAACGAUCAAGCUAUUCAUUCUGAGUAUAUAAAAUUAACGAAUAUUAAUUAUAUGUCACUUUGAUGUACCCUUGUAAUUAUCGCGGGAUUUAAACUCAAACGUGCAUAGGAUUUUGAGACGGUGACCUUUAAUAAUUCACAUCUAUACAAACUGGACCCCUGUUGUGUUCACCUCGAAGUGCAAAGCUACAUGUAUAGAUGGAACGGCGGACCAGUUUAAC